GUGAUCGACGUUUCCGGAUGUGCAGACUUUCGACGCGACAUCAUUGAAUGCAUUGUCAGAAACGCUUUAUUAAAAAGACCUUAAUUUUGUGUUAUCUUGUUUGAUUUAAGGCAAGUGGAGACACAUUUGGCUUCAAUAUGGUGAAGAAUGAGUACGGUAAAACGACGUGGGGAAAGGCCUUUUUGGAUGCCCUUGGGUAAGUCAAAUAUUUGUGUUGAACCUUGCACGUGUUCUGUGGCUGGAAUUGUCUCCAUAUUUUCCGUCGCGGAAUAUAAAGAACUCUUUGAUUGACUUGGUAUUUAUUUAUGAUAUUUUAAAUCAACUAUACACUGAGCUAUUUCACUAUUUCUAUUGUUAUACCAAUACAGGCAUUAUUUAGUCGCAUUGCAUGUGAAUUCGGCAUAUAAAAAUACAAAGCGACGUUCAGUAAAAGCUUAGCGACAAUCAGUAGCCCUCGAUUUCCGGAUUUGGAAACGAAAUGGUGUAUUCCACUUGCGCACAGCAAAAUUAUUAAAGUAUAGUUAUGUCGUCCUUGGUUUGCCGUUUGUAUGUUACAAAAUACAAUGUAUUGUGUUGCAUUUUAUAUAUCAGGUAUAAAUGUUAAGGUCAAGAGGUCACUGGUACUACAGUAUGUCUGUUGAAACCAAACGGAAAAUUACCCCACUUUGCAUACUAGAUUAGUUGCAAGGCCUUCGGAAGCGUGCCCCUCUGAGCUCUCCCCCAAUAGUUUCCUCCCCCCCCAAUAAUUUAAUUUCCUCCCCAAUAAUUUUUAUUUCCUCCCCACAGGAGCAGGUUACUCCCCAAUAAUUUACUCCCACCCACAUGUUUUCUCCCGUAAUUUUACUCCGCACCCCAAUAAUUUCCUCUCCCAUGAGGAUUUUAUUUCUUUUUGUACUUUAUUUCUUUUUUGCACAGGCAAUUACAACCAACUUAUAUUAUCUGCAACAGUUUGUUGUUAUUGUGUAUAUGUCAACACUUAUGAUUGUGUACAGGGCAAACAUUGUUUCAAAACAAAGGGGAUGAAGUUGUAAAAAGUUAUAAAGUGCAUUGCAAAAUAAUGAAAUUCAAAUUAUAAAAAUUCCUCUCAGGAAACACGGAAAUACUCUUCCAAGGCUUCUGAAACGCAAAUUUUUCUGGGGAGAAUGCCCCCAACCCCCUCUUGGUUUUAUCGAUUAUAUCUUUUAAAGAUUUUGUCACUUUGUAUAAUUUUGUCACUUUGUAUAAUUGAGGAAUUCAAACAAAGAUUUAAAAUAGAAUACACAUGUACAAAUACACAUAAUCAUAUCACAGAGAUGUGAACCCUAAGUACCUAAAUUGCGGGUGAUACCAAUACACUGAAACACUGUAACAACCACAAUGCCAAUAACAACUAGCUUUUGUAGCCAAAAAGAGAAUAUUUCUGUUCUUAUUUGUGUGUGUUGGAGUUAUGUACUCUGACAGGUGAAUAUGAUGUUUGUGAUGUUACUCUAAGUGUGCAUCCACACCGAGCAAGCUGAAAAGUUUGAUUCCCACCGUGGCCAAGCAAACUUUUCAGCUUGCCCGGUGUGGAUGCACACUCAGAGUAACAUCACAAAUAUCAUUUCUGUUCUUGUUUAAACAUGUAAAUGUGAAGUCCUCAAAUGUAUUUAGAGUGAAGUUACAGAAUACAGGGUUAAAUUAAAGUUUUGUAAAAGGGAAUAAAUAAAAGUUUUGCAAUGUUUCGUAAAGUCACAACCGUUCAGUCGAAACUAAACAAAAGAAACGUGUAUCUUUGGUUCUACCACAGAAUAGAGAAUACAUUCUCUACUUUGAGAUCAUGUUUUAAGUGCAUUAGGCUACAUAGUUCAGCAUAGCCUACUCCUACAAAAUCUCCUACGGAGAAUUAUCAUCUGAUUAUGCGUGCAUGUGAAUUUAAUUUAAUUUAAGUGCCAUUUUUUACGCGGGUGAUGUUUCCGAAAUGUGGGUGUCACCCGCUCAAUUCGGGUGAGUUCACAUAUUUGUAUCAGCUACUAUACAUGGAAUCAAAACAAAAUCAUGGAAAUAGAUCAAUAUUAGUACUGGUAACAAAAUGAACAUUUUAAACUCUGUUAGAAUUUUGAAGACUCGAACAUUUGACAUGCUCAUCAGUUAGAUUCCAAAGGUUUGGACCUUGAAAUCUGACAUUAAAAAUUCCAUAAUUUGUUCUAAUUUGAGGAGAAUAUAAUGAGACUGUCUUGCUGCUAAUCUUGUAUUAUAGCUGUGAAUGAAAAAUAUUAUGAAAUACAGUACUGGUGGUAUAAAAGCUGAUGGUAAAAUUGAUGCAUGAAAAGUGUAAUAUUUUGAGUAACCAGAUCAAGGAUCUUAAUUAUAUUGAGUGAUUUGAAUAAUGGAUCCUUCCAGAAAAGAUCCACACUUCCCCCAUGGAGGAAAUUUCUGCCUUCUGGAGGGGGAGGGAAAAAAUUUGUUUCUGAUAAUAGUAAGUGUAUCGGGAUGUCUGAAUAGGGUAAGAGUUACAAUCACGUGCAAAAAUAAUGAGACUUUACGUAUUUCAAACAUUUUUUUUUCAUUUUGACACAUCCACACUCAUAUAAUUCGAUCUUUUCUUACUAUUUCCCCCCAUUGACAAUGUUGGGUGAAUGUUUUCUGCCAACACUAUGGUUUGGUAUCAUGGAAACAACAUUGUUUUGGGGGAAGUGGGGGGUCUCAAUAAUUUUUGCUCUUGAUUGUAGGUUAGCCUAGUUUUUGAGGGAAGACUUGCUGGCGGGAGAAUGGUGCCUGUUCACGCCCGCCCUUUUCUCCAUCUGUCUGCCCUUCUCCUGCCCUAAUUUUCCUGCCCACAACUCCUCCCCCAAAAAACAUGGCUGCUAUAUGCAGGCUAGUAGCAAGUUAACUUCCAAUUUCCUCUGUGUUGCCAACAAAUGAACAAAAGGCUGUCAUACAUAUGUUGGCAACCUAUAAAAUUUGGCAACCUCCAAAUUUUUACUUCAUACUUAUUACUCCAUACUAAUUAUUAGGUCCAGAAUCUGAAUCUUGCAUGUGAUUGGCUGUUUGUAAAAACAUGUCAAAUUAGAGGUACAUACCUCCGCAAGUGAAUUAAGUUAUGUAUCAUGCAUAAAUUAUACAAUGGGCGAGUUACAGUGCAUCUUUUCAUAUUCUUCCAAUUCCAAACCAUCAAACAGCAUCUCUAUCUCCUUCAUUGCACUUCAUAAUACCCCGGUAACCAUGAUGUACUGUAUUUAUCUCGAGGACGAACUGAAAAGCCUUAGGGUUAAUUAUUUUUUAUGUGGUUAAAUAUAUUUAAGGAAGGUUAACGGCGGAUGUAUUAUGCAUGCUGCAUCCGCUGAGGGGAGUCUGUGACGUCAUAUCGAUCAAAGGGGGUUGUUUCGCGCCUUGUGAUCAUUGCUUUGGUCUGGGUAGUCAUUCUGCCAUUGUAUGCUUUGCCUAGUUGCAGCAAGUUUAGCGCCUCGUUACUUUUUCCCCACCCACCCACCCAUGAUAUUCUAGAGGAUUUUAUCUGGUAGUCUUUCGGUAUUUUUUUUUUGGGGGGGGGGGGUGUUGUUUCGUGUUGUUUUUUUGUUGUUUUUUUUGUGGGUUUUUUUUAAUCUCACAGGAAUAGGAUGUAUAGACAACUAUACAUUGUAUUUCGUUUCCACUGACUUGUCAGUGUGACUGACAAUAUUACUGAUUGUUGCUCUCGUUGCUGCGCAGCUUCUAUGGCAAUACUUCUUGCCAUCAAGGCUAGUUGCGGCCUUGGACCACAAACGGCACCUACCUCCAAACACUAAUACUCUGCCGUUAAUCUCAUAAAGCAGCUAACUCUCUGUGACAGAGGUUUGGUCUUACCGACGGAAGAUCACAUAGAUCAUUUGCAAUAUUAUUUGAUCGUUCUGCUCUUCACAGGGUGCAAUAAUUCAAGAUUUUUACUCCUACCUGAAUGGAACUCCAAUGAUUAUUGCCUCGUACUUGCGCUAGUAGAAACUCAAUACUUGAUGUUUACUUAGACUUAGUCUUUGAAAUAAAGGGCAUAUAAUACAGGUUUCUGACAAGUAUACUAAAACUACGAGUUAGAACAAGAAGCGCAAUUGCAUAUACAAACAAUCGAGUGUCAUCAGUCCAAUCAUGUUUUAUGCCAAGACAUCUAUGACAUGUUAUACUGUACCUACUAAUGGUGCCAGCAAAAAGUAAGUAUGCAGAUAGCAACAGUUCCGCGUACCUACAUACGUGGUACCUGGCUGAAAACAUCAAGUACCUGACCAUAAUAUUGAGCAAGUGCAUGAAUUAUCGGACUCUGCUUCCUAGGACAGUAAACGUAUGUCUCGCUAUUCUACUGUAUCUCAUUACUUAAGACAGUCAUGCAACACUGGUCACAAUCUCAGUUUCACAAUGUACCAGUGAAUAACUCGAAUUCUUGCUAAUAAGGUAUCGAAUUUCUCACACACCCGAAUGCUAGCUAAAACACUGCUUCUCAAUUUUCCAUAUGUUUCUAAUGUUAUAUAUAGAAACAAGGUAUGGGUCACAAAAACUUUUGCUUGGUUUUAGCCCAUGAUCCUUCUCGUGCAGAGGUUCAGCUUCCUGUCCAUAGCUGCUGGUAUUAAUAGUGGGUUCAUGGGCGUACCGGAAGGAAAAAAUUAGGGGGGCGGAAAGAAAUUUGCCCGACGUUUUCGGAUUGUGCCCGACCAGUGACGGAAAAAUUUUUUCGGAAAAAUUUAGGGGUCCAAAAUUUUUUCGGACAUACCAGAAUUUUUCGGAACAUCAUACAAAUUUUCUAGACAUCACAAAAUUGACCACGAAAUUGACAGAAUUUCCCACAAAAUUGACAGAAUUUCUCCCAUUUAUUUUUAUAAUAAGCCAAUAUUGACCGACUGUGGAGCGAAUAUUGCCCGACUGGGUGGGUUUGCUUACAUCAUAAAAGGUUAGUGUCAUUGGGCGAAUGAGCUUGCUUGAUAUCAAUAUAUGCUUUAUCUUGUGUUGUUGUAACGUUCUUAUAUUUAUUUAUAAAUAUUCAUGCAAGCUUUUCUUUCUUGCUGUGACACUCCUAUCAAUAUCUAUAUUCGUAUCCAUGCUCUCUUCCUAGUCACAUGCUUGAACAUAUGGACAUAUAUGGUUAUGUCCUGAAUAACUAUGUUAUGUGAUUAACAAAUAGAUAAGAUUUUGCCGUUGUCUGUGGUUUUCACAAAAGGUGGCCCACUCGCCUCGGCGGCAUGACGUCAUACUGUGUAUCUAUAACUGUAUAUACCUAUGACGUCAUACUGUGUAUCUAUAACUGAACAGACAACGACAAAAUCUUAUCUAUUUGUUUUAUAUAAUAAAAAGGAAACCCCCGAAUUUAAACAGGUUUUAUCCACCCAAGCAUUUGGAAAUUUGAAAAUAUCGAAAUUUUACAAAUAUCAUGGCGUACAAUGGCGUACAUGAUCAAUACAAAUAAGGGAAUGCUAUUGGAUAAGGUUUUGUGACAUUUGUGUGACGUAAUUCCGUGCGUCUUUCCUCUAAUAGAUCAUGGUUCUUGACCAAUGAAAGCGCUUGAAUUCUUAACGUUAUUAUAUAAAAUACUAUAUACUAGAUCACUAUAGUUCCCAAAAAGCAUUGGCCAUCUUUCUUCAACUAAACAAGUCGUUGAUUGAUGUCAUGAUCAUUCCUCAAAAAUCUGUCGUAGAUACUGGGCGUUUGUAGAAACAGACAUUUCAACUAUCGCCUUCACUUUUGCUUGGUCUGCAUGUACACCAUCUUUACUGAACUUACGGCCAACUUUUAUGAAGGUUGCGGUUAAUUUGUUGUACUUUUAGCUUAUAAAGGUAGUCAUAUCCAAACAUAAGAUGUAGAUACGUGAACACUAUGGCACUGCUAAAUAGUGUUGCUACAUUGUAUCGUUCCCGCCGAUAUCACUGUUCAGACGUCAAAGAUCCGCACAUAUUCUUAGUGCUCCGUUACCUUUGGGGCUUCAGUCAGUUUGAUAAUUCGGGAUUCGUUCAUGAUAGCUUCUGCAUAACAUGAUCCAGCCAGAUUUGAUAGUUUCAUCAAUUACAGAGAAUAACAUCAAUUUCAUGUAAAAUGUAUUAGAGCUAGCUAUGCCGUCAAAAUUAGCUCGAAAUUGCGUACGAGUGACCCAGGCAAAGUUUGCUUAAGCAUUUAUUGAAUAAAAUCAUUUAUUGAAGUGUAAGAACGAGGACCGGUUGUUCGAAAGGCGGUUAGCUUAAUCCUCCAGUAGGUUAGUAGUACAAAACAAUUACAGCAAAUUUCCCACAGUUUGUUUAUACACUUAGAAUAUUUCUCCAGAAAUCUUAUCUGGAUCAAUAAAAGUUCUAUUUUCUGAAUUUUUAAAACAAACCGAUCUGAAGAAAUGUGCAAACCAAAACAGCGGGUUAAAUUUUAACCUAGGGUUAGCGCUAAUUGUGCUUUGAACAACUGGCCGCAGUACUAUUACUCGCUUGACCAUUGCUAUCAAUUAAUUAUUGCUCUAAAAUGUAGUAAUUGUAGGAAUAAAAUAUUCGGUACCUGCUUAUCUAGCUUCAUUUUGGUCAAGUAUUCUAUAGUAUUUAUUUCCUAUUAUAUGUAAUAGCAUUUAAAGUUCUCCAACAGUCUGUAUUAGGAUAGCCACAUGUACGCAGUGCGUACCUAUUUUUAUUAUAUUCAUUUUGAAAUCUGUGGUGUUUCGUGCAAUCUAAGUUGUCAAAAAUAGUGAGAUUAAUUCCCAAAUCGCAUUCCUUUAAUGGCAUCAUCUUGAACUUAAAUUGCAUCUUUAUUCUUUUCAACCAAUCAUAUUUACAGUCAAACCGGAUGUUAUCUUGCGAGCAACAUUGCAAUAUUACCCCACAAUAUUGUAUGCAGUUUUGAUAAGCAGAUUGCUCUGAGCAAUUUGCAAGUGACGCGAACAAAUUCCAAGUUGAAAUUCACAAACGAUUUGUACACAAAGCCUCUGAUUGGACUAUUAUGACAAAAAGGAAGCCAAUCAAAUAUAGUAAGGAUGCCACCUCAGAUGUGGUACUUACAGACUGUACACUGUACUAUUAUUAAAACUAGAACUCUUAUAACUCUACGGACUGUGAUUUAUCGCCUGCAGGGCCGGGCAGGCUAUUGAACUACUGUAUAAUAUAACAAAAUGAAAAUUUUAAUUUUUGUAGACGUCUGGAUACAAAUGCAAGACUAGGUCGUGGUAAGAGUUACGCUAACACUGGGAAAGUGUUGACGAUCAAUGCAAAUGGACCACAGGUAAC